CCGCACGAAGUCCAAACCCAUAGCCAAGGCACUCCACAUUACGUCCGUUUCAACUAUCAAGGCCGCGUAACUUAGUUGUUGCGCAUGCUCAGUUAAAGAAGACCGGUUUUUGCUCGAGUGACGUGGAUCGGCAUUUGCUCACAGAUACUGCAGAAAGCCUAGGCUGUCUUUUAGGGCAUGACCACACAAUCGGGUAGUGUCGCUAUCUGAAGAAGAUCUCUGGAAAUCUCGAAGGCCUUUGUAGUAUGUGAAACGACACAUUUCUCGUCCUCCUGUUUUGCCGGGUUCUGCAAGUUUUGUGAGGACUUUCGCUGUAAUCCAGUUAUUUGUGCUUACUAGAAUUCAGUUCGUGGGAGAUCCUACCGAUGUACGCCUCGCCGUAAUGGAACAAUCGAGACCCAAAGAUGGCGGAGUCAGGUCUGUUUGUUUGUUUGUAAUAUAUUCUUACUCACAGCGCACUCUACAGAUCUCUACCGCUAUCAGAGAUGUCAAUUGUAGUUUCUGCGUUUCGCUUUUUGACUAUUGGCCGAUGCUGUGUGACCUGUGGCAUGACCAUCUCUACUGUACAGUAGUACUAGUGAUGCUAGUAAUGGUGGGCUCUUGAUGUGCUUCUUGUAUAGCUGCUGGCACUAGGGACAGUCAUGCAAGGGAGACUGAUGCAAAUGUUGAAUGGCACACUGCUUGCACAUUAAAUGGUAGCAUUGGAGUUCAACUGGGAUAUUGACAACUUUUUCACACACAGGGCACUUGAACAAGUCGAACAGGGCUUCUGGUGCUACUGUUUCUAUUUGUUGGAUUAAGUCAGUCAAUUUGAUUGGUGACUGACCUGUGGGAACAAGCUGAUUCUUUUCACUAUUUGGGUGGUCGUCCUUCUUCUGUUGCUGACAACUGGAGCAGGUGUUGCCGUUUUCUGAGUGUGGCAUCCACUCUCUGCAGAGAGGUACAAUAAUAGAGGCUUCUUGCCUCUUUGUAAAUCAACGCGUUACUAGAUGGCAGCAGACACAGAAAUUGACAUUUGUACUGACAUCCUCUCGAUGGAACCUGGGGCCACAUAACCUGCUGAAGCUCUCCUACGGAAAUGUAUGGAAUAAGGAAAGGGCAUGAGAGAGUGAUGAGGUAAAGAACUGCUACACGUGUACCAAAGUGUACCAUUCAAAUUCAAGGUUCAGUAUAUACACGGUCAAGAAGAUUUUGCACUUGCUUUGGGAGUAGCAAUGUCAUGAUGAGACAAGAAAAUUAUCAUCAUGAAAUGAAAGCAGGAGCAAGAGAAAAAUGAAAAUACGAAAAUAGAAGACAUCUUUUGGAACAGACAUCGUUCACACCUCUUGUUUUCUCUUCUAUGGGUGGAGCAAGCAAGUUGACAGCAACGUGCAUAAUGAAGCUGGCUUCCCUUCUGUCGGAGAACAACAAUAUGUCUUACAACACCACCAUUUGCUGGAUUCAAUGUAGAGUGGCAUUUGCUCUUCCAUCAUGUGUUUGCGUGGCUCCAGGUCUCACAAACGUUAUUAUAUCAAUUCUGAUAAUGUGCUCUCCAUCUGUGCAGAGAGCCGCCUUUAUCUCUAGAUCAUUAUAUACAAACUGUCUAGAACUAUAUGUUGGCGCUCUACUUUUGCUGUUAUAUGUACAAUUGGUUUAUUGUCAAAUAUACCAUGUUG